AGACCUACGGGAGGCAGCAGUGAGGAAUAUUGGUCAAUGGGCGCGAGCCUGAACCAGCCAAGUCGCGUGAGGGAAGACGGUCCUAUGGAUUGUAAAACCCUGUUGUUAGAGAAGAAAGUGCGUGAGAGUAACUGUUCACGUUUCGACGGUAUCUAACCAGAAAGCCACGGCUAACUACGUGCCAGCAGCCGCGGUAAUACGUAGGUGGCGAGCGUUAUCCGGAAUGAUUGGGCGUAAAGGGUGCGUAGGCGGCCUGCUAAGUCUGGAGUGAAAGGUACCGGCUCAACCGGUACAGGCUCUGGAAA
rnacentral:rRNA from 1 species